rnacentral:rRNA from 1 species
AGGGCGCAAGGUGGAUGCCUUGGCACAUGAAGGCGACGAAGGACGUAAGUGAACGAAAACUAGGGUAAGCUCACAAAAAGCAUUGACCCCUAGGUCUCCGAAUGGGGAAACCCGGCUGUGGAAGACACAGUCAUCAUUAAGUGAAUACAUAGCUUAAUGAAGCAAGACCCUGUGAACUGAAACAUCUAAGUAACAGGAGGAAAAGAAAGAAAACUCGAUUUUCCUAGUAGCGGCGAGCGAAAAGAAAAGAGCCCAACUCAUUAAGGAUCAUAUUUAAUUAGCAGAAUCAUUUGGGAAGAUGAACCAAAGAAAGUGACAGUCUUGUACGCGACAGUUAAAUAUGGACAGAGGGAAAGUAGCACCGGACACGAGGAAUCCGUUGUGAAGAUAGGGGGCCCAUCCCCUAAGGCUAAAUACUAACAUGUGACCGAUAGUGAACAAGUACCGUGAGGGAAAGGUGAAAAGAACCCCGAAAGGGGAGUGAAAUAGAACCUGAAACCUAGCGCCUACAAGCAGACAGAGCAAUUAAGCCCGACAUACUGGGCAAAGUCUGAUGUCGUACCUUUUGUAGAAUGGGCCAGCGAGUUAUUCUAAGCUGCAAGAUUAAUGAUUUAAGAUCAGAAGUCGAAGCGAAAGCGAGUCUGAAUAGGGCGAAAAGUAGAAUAGAAUAGACCCGAAACCGGGUGAUCUAUCCAUGACCAGAGUGAAGGUGAAGUAAAAUUCACUGGAGGCUCGAACCGGGUACGGUUUAAAACGUAUCGGAUGAGUUGUGGUUAGGGGUGAAAAGCCAAACGAACUCGGAUAUAGCUGGUUCUCCUCGAAAUAGCUUUAGGGCUAGCCUUUGACGAAAGAUUUAAGGAGGUAGAGCACUGAAUGGUCUAGGGCGGUUUACCGUACCAAAACCUAUCAAACUCCGAAUGCCAAAAAAUCAAGUCAAGGAGUCAGACUUAGAGGGAUAAGCUUCUAAGUCGAAAGGGAAACAGCCCAGACCGACAGCUAAGGUCCCAAAAUCUGGAUUAAGUGGAAAAGGAUGUGAUCCUACUAAGACAACCAGGACGUUGGCUUAGAAGCAGCCAUGCAUUUAAAGAAUGCGUAAUAGCUCACUGGUCAAGUGGGGUUGCGCCGAAAAUGAACGGGGCUCAAAUCCAGUACCGAAGCUUCGGAUUGAUAGAGGAAUUAAGUAUACAAGUAAGGUAUAUAAUUAAACUUGAAUGGAAAUAUUAAAGAUAACAGAGUUAACAAAAGAGUAGAAAAUCAAAACUAACAUACGCUCACUAAGAAAAAUCAGAAAAGAUUCAAAAAUCACCCAAAAUCCUAAAAAGAAUAAACGGUAGGUCUAAAAACCUAAGCGUAAGUCAAACUACAAUAAAUUAACUGGUAACUGUAAAUAUUAAACGUCAAGUAAAAUCUAUCUUACAAGCAUACUUAAUACCUCUAUCAGUGGUAGAGGAGCGUUGUAUUAGGGAAGAAGCAGAAGCGAAAGCAAAGGUGGACUUAAUACAAGUGAGAAUGCUGGCAUGAGUAGCGAGAAGGAGAGUGAGAAUCUCUCCCGUCGAAACCCUAAGGAUUCCUGAGCAAGGCUCGUCCCCUCAGGGUAAGUCGGGACCUAAGCCAAGGCCGAAAGGCGUAGGCGAUGGACAACAGGUUUAGAUUCCUGUACCGCUUAAAGUCGUUAAGAGAGAAGUGAUGACGCAAGAGGAUAAGCUAAGCUGACAGAUGGAAGUCAGUCCAAGCAGUGAGAUUAAUGUGUAGGCAAAUCCGCACAUUGUUAAAAUCAGGCUGUGAUGGGUAUCGAAAACAUGAGUAGAGAAGUAGCCGAUUUCAAAUUGCCAAGAAAAGUCACUAUCCAGACCAAAGCGCCCGUACCCGAAACCGACACAGGUAGGGAGGUAGAGAAUACCAAGACGCGCGGAAGAACCUUUGUUAAGGAACUCGGCAAAAUGUCCCCGUAACUUCGGGAGAAGGGGAGCCAUAGCGAUAUGGCCACAGAAACCAGGCCCAAGCGACUGUUUACCAAAAACACAAGUUUCUGCAAAAUCGUAAGAUGAAGUAUAGGAGCUGACACCUGCCCGGUGCUGGAAGGUUAAGGCGAAGGCUUAGCGCAAGCGAAGGCUCGAACUUAAGCCCCAGUAAACGGCGGCCGUAACUAUAACGGUCCUAAGGUAGCGAAAUUCCUUGUCGGGUAAGUUCCGACCCGCACGAAAGGUGUAACGAUUUGGGCACUGUCUCAACAAAGGAUCCGGUGAAAUUGUAGUAGUCGUGAAGAUGCGACUUACCCACGCUAGGACGGAAAGACCCCGUGGAGCUUUACUGUAGGCUGAUAUUGGACUUUGAGAUUAGAUGUACAGGAUAGUUGGGAGACUGUGAUACAUGCACGCCAGUGUGUGAGGAGUCACCCUUGGGAUACCAACCUUCUAAUAUUAAAGUUCUAACGAUAACCCUUGAAUCAGGGUAUCGGACAUUGUCAGUUGGGCAGUUUGACUGGGGCGGUCGCCUCCUAAAAAGUAACGGAGGCGUUCAAAGGUUCGCUCAGAAUGGACGGAAACCAUUCGAAGAGUACAAAGGCAUAAGCGAGCUUAACUGCAAAACCUACAAGUUGCGCAGAGUAGAAAUACGGACUUAGUGAUCCGGUGGUACCGCAUGGAAGGGCCAUCGCUCAACGGAUAAAAGCUACCCCGGGGAUAACAGGCUUAUCUCCCCCAAGAGUCCACAUCGACGGGGAGGUUUGGCACCUCGAUGUCGGCUCGUCUCAUCCUGGGGCUGAAGUAGGUCCCAAGGGUUGGGCUGUUCGCCCAUUAAAGAGGCACGCGAGCUGGGUUCAGAACGUCGUGAGACAGUUCGGUCCCUAUCCAGCGUGGGCGUAAGAAAUUUGAGAGGAUCUGUCCCUAGUACGAGAGGACCGGGAUGGACAUACCAAUGGUCUACCAGUUGUUCCGCCAGGAGCAUAGCUGGGUAGCUACGUAUGGAAUCGAUAAGUACUGAAAGCAUCUAAGUACGAAACAGACCUCAAGAUAAGAUUUCU